rnacentral:rRNA from 1 species
AUAGAAAAGCUUGCUUUUCUGAUGACGACCGGCGCACGGGUGCGUAACGCGUAUACAACCUACCUUUUAGCGGGGAAUAGCCCAGGGAAACUUGGAUUAAUGCCCCAUAGUAUAUAAACUUCUCCUGAAAUUUAUAUUAAACAUUUAUGGCUAUUAGAUGGGUAUGCGUCCUAUUAGUUAGUUGGUAAGGUAACGGCUUACCAAGGCAGCGAUAGGUAGGGGUCCUGAGAGGGAGAUCCCCCACACUGGUACUGAGACACGGACCAGACUCCUACGGGAGGCAGCAGUGAGGAAUAUUGGACAAUGGGCGAGAGCCUGAUCCAGCCAUGCCGCGUGCAGGAAGACUGCCCUAUGGGUUGUAAACUGCUUUUACAGAGGAAGAACCACCCCCACGUGUGGGGGUUUGACGGUACUCUGCGAAUAAGGAUCGGCUAACUCCGUGCCAGCAGCCGCGGUAAUACGGAGGAUCCAAGCGUUAUCCGGAAUCAUUGGGUUUAAAGGGUCCGUAGGCGGGCAGUUAAGUCAGUGGUGAAAGUCUUCCGCUCAACGGGAGAACUGCCAUUGAUACUGAUUGUCUUGAGUUAUUAUGAAGUGGUUAGAAUGAGUAGUGUAGCGGUGAAAUGCAUAGAUAUUACUCAGAAUACCGAUUGCGAAGGCAGAUCACUAAUAAUAUACUGACGCUGAUGGACGAAAGCGUAGGUAGCGAACAGGAUUAGAUACCCUGGUAGUCUACGCCGUAAACGAUGGUUACUAGCUGUUCGGCCCAAUUGAGGGCUGAGUGGUUAAGCGAAAGUGAUAAGUAACCCACCUGGGGAGUACGUUCGCAAGAAUGAAACUCAAAGGAAUUGACGGGGGCCCGCACAAGCGGUGGAGCAUGUGGUUUAAUUCGAUGAUACGCGAGGAACCUUACCAGGGCUUAAAUGUAGUCUGACAGGUCUGGAAACAGACUUUUCUUCGGACAGAUUACAAGGUGCUGCAUGGUUGUCGUCAGCUCGUGCCGUGAGGUGUCAGGUUAAGUCCUAUAACGAGCGCAACCCCUGUGGUUAGUUGCCAGCGAGUAAUGUCGGGAACUCUAGCCAGACUGCCGGUGCAAACCGCGAGGAAGGUGGGGAUGACGUCAAAUCAUCACGGCCCUUACGUCCUGGGCCACACACGUGCUACAAUGGUAGGGACAGAGAGCAGCCACUUCGCGAGAAGGAGCGAAUCUACAAACCCUAUCACAGUUCGGAUCGCAGUCUGCAACUCGACUGCGUGAAGCUGGAAUCGCUAGUAAUCGCAUAUCAGCCAUGAUGCGGUGAAUACGUUCCCGGGCCUUGUACACACCGCCCGUCAAGCCAUGGAAGCCGGGGGUACCUGAAGUCGGUCACCGCAA